UCUACGUUGUUCCUCGGGACAGGAGAAGAAUGUGGCACUGAUUGGAGGAUCCCUAUUUGAGUUGCUUGGAUAAAAGCAAGAGGAAGGAGCGAGUUCACACAUGAAAAUUCUGGGAAACAAGUGGCAGUAUCUGUGUAAGGUCUUUGGCCAAAAGGCGUGAUUCUUUUUAGAAAUCAAUGGGAGAGUGGAGCAAUUUCUCCAGUCGGACUUUGAAGAGCAGAGUUUCAGUGGUGAGAUGCAGAAAGUGUAUUUAAGAAAGCCAAUUCUCUAUUAGCAACAAUACAACCAUUAGAGACAUCGUUCCUUCUGAAGACAGCAAAGAUGGGAGUAACCGUCCUCAGGGUUUCCAAUGCUACUCUCCAUCUGUAUUUCAUCUUCGCCACUUCUUCCCAUGUUUGAAACUCGCCUGGGAGUUUGCCUGUUGCUAUCUUCUCAUGUUCUGAAAUCCAGUAACAAAAGGCAUCCCACUAUCAGUCCCUUUUGUUCAAUUAUAUUAUAUAUAUGGAACUAUAUAUACCAUUUUACCGCAGGACAAUUUGUUCCAAAGGAAAAUAGAUUCUUGAACAGGAUGGAUAUAUGUACUUAGAAAGUUUUGUU